rnacentral:sRNA from 1 species
AAUCACUGAUCUUCUAAUAUCUACAGAUAUCAGUGAGCAUUAUAUAGGCGACCACCAUGUGCUACAGCUGCCUAUGGUGCUGUGUGCUAUGUCUCUCCUCAUUAAUUCUGGUGUGUUCUGUGUUCUUCUAUCGCCACAUAGCUAUUUCCUAAUAUAGAUAUCUCCGUUGUGUCUAUUACAGAAGAUCAGAAUAUUGUUCAUGUACACUGAAGUGAUCUCAUCAAGCAGAUCUCAUAGAGCUCAGUUAAUGUAUUUCUGAAACAUGCUUAAGAUGUUUGCUAAUUCAAAAGAGAUCACUGUUCAUUCAUAUAAUCUGUAAUGUGUAUGAAAAGCAGUUAGCCAUUCAUCAUCUUCAUUAAUUCUUAUCUUAUAGAAGGCUGCAG